GACCACAGCCAUUUCACCCUGCAGUCUAAGACCGGUUACUCAUUGAAUCUAAGCAAGGCUGAGCCUGGCCAGUACCUGGAUUGGGGACCACAUGGGAAAACUAGGUUGCUGUUGAAA
ensembl:rRNA 5S_rRNA 5S ribosomal RNA